GCCCUCUUUACCAACCACAAAAAAAGCAUCAGGCAUAUCUUGCUCCAUCUUACAAAAUGCAUAUCAAGUUUAUCUACUAAAAAUCUCAUUGCCUAUCAGCUCUCUUAUGCAAUAAAAAUUAUAUGCAAAUGAUGCGUGAGAUCAGUAAUAAUGUCUGUAACUACCGCAUAAAGACUACACAUCAUCAACCUUCAAUGUCAAAUGGAAAAAAUGAGAUAACCGCCAACAAAUAACCAAUAGC
rnacentral:misc_RNA from 1 species